GAUGAGCCAAAAAGCGGGAGUAGUAGUAGUAGUACAACUACUACCGUGAUGAGUGAUGUGGAUUGGACUUGAGAAGGUGCUAAUGGCAUAUGCCUUGGAAGAUCCUGAUAUGAAACCUCUUUUUUCACUCCUUUUCUAAUUUUGUAUUGAUAUGCUUAGCUUUAGCAUCCCAAAAGUCACACCCCUACUUAAGUCACCUCACCCUUUUAUUGCUCGCAUGACCAACGACAUCCUUAUAAAACCCCAGCCCUCCUCCUUGAUCAAACCCUCUCCUUGUCGUCACGCUCACACAUGUGAGGAGUGCACUCGUUUUUGCUUCUCCGCUGCCCUUGCCAGUGUAAUGGCAAUGAUCCCGAGUCUGAUCAAUCCGGUGGCAAGGGUGGCUGAGCGUCUCCUCCCGUGGUGAUCGAUGGUCCCCGCCAGCAGCUGGGGAAAGCCUACUUCAGCUGCGGAUAUGUGUACGCUCACCUUCCAAGGUAACGUCUAUCCUUUAGCAUCUUGAGCAGUUCUUGCCACAAUAACAAGUAACAAGAGACGAGAAAUUGCCAUCAGAAGAGUGAUUUCUGUUCUUGAUAUGAUAUGGUGUAUCAGCACCAUAGGGCAACUUCGAUCCUUUGGCAUGUUGAUCGGUGCUUACCUAGAGUCGCCUAUAUUAGGAAAAUAAUAAUCUCAAGGGCUAGGCAGAUGAUGCUUAAAUCAAAUGUUGUUUUCUUCUGCUGGAUCUGUUACUUAUUAUAGCACCGUAUGUCAUCCAUCGUAUAGGGCAACUUCUAUCCUUUGGCAUCUUGAUCGGUACUUACUUGUAUUUCUGUUUUUAAUAUAGUACGAUAUAUCGUCAUAUCAUAUGAGGUAACUUCUAUCC